UACGUAGGGGGCGAGCGUUGUCCGGAUUUAUUGGGCGUAAAGAGCUCGUAGGCGGUUCGGUAAGUCGGGUGUGAAAUCUCCACGCUCAACGUGGAGGGGCCACUCGAUACUGCCGUGACUCGAGUCCGGUAGAGGAGUGUGGAAUUCCCGGUGUAGCGGUGAAAUGCGCAGAUAUCAGGAAGAACACCUAUGGCGAAGGCAGCUCUCUGGGACGGUACUGACGCUGAGACGCGAAAGCGUGGGGAGCGAACAGG
rnacentral:rRNA from 1 species